ensembl:lncRNA
AAGCCUUUUGGGAGCAGAUUUUCCCCCCUAAAUAUAGAUCCGGGGACACAAAUCCAGAUUUACUGGACCAAUGUCUCUGGUGUCUAGGACCCCAGAAUCUGAAUAGAAAGCUGUUCCCUGGGUGUGUGCCCCAGUGACGGAGAGCCCAGCCCUCACCCCUUCCCUCCAUGCAGCUGCUGCACUUAUUUAGGUUCCGUUAUUUAGGUCUCCUGCUCAUGCUCAGUCCCUGAGUUGUGUGCAACUCCUUGUGACCUCAAGGUAUAUAGCUUGCCAGGCUCCUCUGUCUGUGGGAUUUUUCCAGGUGGAUUCUUUACCACCGAGCCACCAGCGAAGCCCAUCAUGUAGGUCUGCAUUUCUUCGAAUUGGCCCAUUCCUUUUACUUAAAUACUGCUUCUACAAAGGGAAAUUCUGUAUCCGUCAUUCUCAUACUGAUGUCAAAGUUCAGAAUCAGCAGUUGGUUUCUCCUCUCUGCCAGUGUUCUCUCCUCUCAUAAUAAGCAGCAAUCAUUCGCAGAAGCUGGAGGCUGUUUCCAGGGCCAAAGGAGCAUUACCAGGGAACACAGGGAGCCAGGCUCUCACACGGACCGUCCACGGUUGGGUGGGGUCCCUGGAAGCAUCUGUGUGGCGGGCUGGUGGGUGAAAACCCACAGAUGCCUCCAGCAUCUUCGUGACAGACAGACCUCUAGAGUCACAAGGGCCUGCAGAGGGGAAGCAAGAAGAAAGCAGCAAGCGUUUCCCAGAGUCCAGGAGUUUGUAGAAGGAGCUGCUGAAAUGUCAGCAAGAGCAGUGAUUAUGACAUUAGACCUUCUGCUCCAGAACUGAUCACAGAUAAAGCAGCUUUCUGGACCCAGGAAACAUUGGGAAAAGACACACUUGGCAGAACAUGUGAAAACAGAUUGCAAAGGGGGAAAAUCUGGACCCUGAAGUUUCCAGUACCAAGCUUGAAACUAUAAAACAAAGCCCCCGACUUUUGGAGUUAUCAGCACACUAGAUUUUCCCCCUUCCCGAUCACAUUAGCUUUUGAGUAAUGUAGCAGCCAGGCACCCAGCUCUGUGAUGU